AGUUCUUUUCUGCUGAUAACAGUUAAGCGAAAGAUGAUGUCAGUGUGCUGUGUGAUCCUCCUUUCUGAUGCUGUGUGCAGACUGAGUUGGAAGAAGCUUUUCUUGUUCUACUGUCAUUUUCUUGUCUCAAGCUGGUGGGGAGAAGUUGCUUGCCCCUACCCAGGAGAGUUAAGCAGGUGCUCGAGCAAGCUCCACACCUUCUACGACAAAGCUGAUUGUGGCUUCACGUUCAUUGCUAUCAUCAGACCUUCCCGCUCAGCUGUGUAAAACAGAAGUACAUAAACCCAUCUUCAGAGAUGUGCAACUAAACUUCAUGGCAGAACAGACAGUAGGUGAACUGCUUCGUGCUUUCUGGUAUAAGACUCAGUUGCUGUUUAGCAGAAUUUUUAGUGUCUGGGUUUUAAACUUUCUGGUGCUGCCUAGUAUUUGCUUAAUGCAUCUUGACACUUUUGUUUUGGGGUAUUUGGGGCCUGGUGCUUCAGCUCAGAUCUUUCAGUUGUUGCCUGAGUGAGAGCGGUAAAAAUGUCUGCAAGGGGGAGUUGUAUGUUUCUUCUGAAGGCAUGUUUAUUUGUGAAUAAUGUCAGGGAACUGGGGUGGGGUCCUGAUGCCAAAGUGGAUAUUUUCUGCAAUCUGAGUAGUGUGAUUGGGACAGGGGAGGAGGUUGGUUGAGCUGGUUUUUCCAGGGACAGGUAAGCACCCUUCAGGGGAGUUGAGCAGUCUCUGCUGGUGCUUCUGUGCUCUCGUGUAAUGUUCAGACAGCCACUAACCAAGUUCUCAUCAACUCAAGCCAGUCAUUCGUUUUUUGUUAGCCAAACUUAAUGUUCUUGGAAUCCAAUUUAUAAAAAGAGAAACAGUGCGCUUACA